rnacentral:rRNA from 1 species
UACGUAGGGGGCAAGCGUUGUCCGGAUUUAUUGGGCGUAAAGAGCGUGUGGGCGGCCUGAAAGGUCAGCUGUGAAAACUCGAGGCUCAACCUCGAGACGUCGGUUGAAACCAUCUGGCUAGAGUCCGGAAGAGGAGAGUGGAAUUCCCGGUGUAGCGGUGAAAUGCGCAGAUAUCGGGAAGAACACCCGUGGCGAAGGCGGCUCUCUGGGACGGUACUGACGCUGAGACGCGAAAGCGUGGGGAGCAAACAGG